UACAGAGGUCUCAAGCGUUGUUCGGAUUCAUUGGGCGUAAAGGGUGCGUAGGUGGCGCUGUAAGUCGGGUGUGAAAUUUCGGAGCUUAACUCCGAAACUGCAUUCGAUACUGCGGUGCUUGAGGACUGGAGAGGAGACUGGAAUUCAUGGUGUAGCAGUGAAAUGCGUAGAGAUCAUGAGGAAGACCAGUGGCGAAGGCGGGUCUCUGGGCAACAACUGACGCUGAGGAGCGAAAGCGUGGGGAGCGAACAGG
rnacentral:rRNA from 1 species